ACUACUUCCUGAUCGCUCCUAGUCCUGGGGUGGGGAUGCAGUUCUCUGGCUGAGUGCCCCGCCGGUGGGCUGAGCUGGGGGCUGCCAUCGCGGUGGAUGGAGGUGGGGGGUCUGAUCUCCGCACUCCAAGGCGCUCCGCUAGUACCUGGAACAGGGGAGUCUAACCCCCUGCCUUCCAAUGGCUAAAGUUAUUUUGGAGCACAGUCCCCUCCUAGGGUGUGAGCUCCGGAGGGCAGGGCCGCCUCCUCCACACUCCCUCGCCCCCCCCCCCCCCAGCAACCCACGGCCGGCGCUUUGAGGACUUGAACCCGGCCCAGACCCCGGGGCCCAGGCCUGCUCCGACCCGAGGAAGGAAAAAGGGGAAGCCAAAGGAAACUUCAGAUGGACGCGGGGUGCGCUCGCCGCGGCCAGGGGCUCCGCUGCCCCCGCCCCACCCUCCGAGGGAGCGCCUUCCAGGGGCCCUGGCCGGCCUCCCACCUUGACCCGCUUGCCCUGGAUCUCCAGCGUCUUCAUGGUGAAGUCGACGCCGAUGGUGCUUCCCUGGCGCUCCGAGAAGGCGCCGGUCUUGAAGCGCUGCACCACGCACGUCUUGCCCACGCUUGCGUCGCCCACCAGCACCAGCUUGAACAGGAAAUCGUACUGCUCGUCCGGGUCCCCCGGGCCUGGGCCCGGCCCUGCCAUGGCCUAGAAGAAGCCGAAGGGCCGGCGCUCUGGACGCUGGGACCGGCCUGAGCUCACGCAAGCCGCGGGCCGAGCUCCGCCCGCUCCAGCCCACGGGCCGCCUGGCUACGUGGAGCCGCCGCAACACCUGAACCCCCAGCACUGCCGACCGCCUGCCUCGGCCUCGGCCCCGCCCCACCCCGGCUGGCUCCCGCCCCGGCCCGGCUCGGCCCCGCCCGGACCCGGUGCCCCGCGGGUUCGGCUCCCCCCCGGACCCGCCAAGCCGGGCCCUCCGCAAAGCUCCGGCCGGUCCUCAGCUCCGUGCCACACCAGUCUGGCCUGUAGGCCCGCCCCAGCCCGCCCCCGCCCGCCCCCGGCUCCGCCCUCAGGCUGGCACCCACUCCGCCCCCAGCCCAACCCUCGGGCCCACCUCAGCCCGACCCGGGUUCCGCCUACGUCCCCGCCCCCGACUCCGCCCUCAGCUCCGACCUCGACUCCGCCCCCAGGCCCACCUCAGCGCGCCCCGACUCCGACCCGACUCUGCCCUCAGCCCGACCUCGACUCCGCCCACAGGACCACCUCAGCCCGCCCCGACUCCGCCCUCAGCCCGAACUCGACUCCGUCCCCAGCUCCGACCUCGACUCUGCCUUCAGGCCCACCUCAGCCCUCCCCGACUCCGCCUUCAGCCCGACCUCGACUCCGCCCUCAGGCCCACCUCAGCACACCGCCCCGACUCCGCCCACAGGCCCACCUCAGCCCGCCCCGACUCCGCCCUCAGGCUCACCUCAGCUCUGACUCCGCCCCACCCGACUCCGCCCUCAGCCCCGACCCCAGCCCGACCCCGCCCUCAGCACCUCGGCCCCUCCUCCAUCAACACCCCGGCGCGCCCACACCGCGGAUCCGUCUGGCCCCCAAACCGCUGCCCACCCCGACCCUUCAUCAGCUGGGACCCCCAGGUGCUGUCCCGCGCCUCCUGCUCGCCCCCCACCCAGGCCUGGUCCGCCUGCCCGGGAUCCCCUACCUGCUGCCUCCCAGACCGCCGGUCAGGGACAGGCGGAGACCAUGGCUGGAGCUCCGGGCCUGCAGGCCUAGACUAAGAAUGACCCCCUCCGGAAUGGAUCACGGAGGAAGGGGACGACCACAGCAGUGUCACCUGAGUGCCCACUCUGACAGGCGGGCAGUGCAGUCUCCGAGAGUGGUGGGGGUCGCUCUUCCCAGGGGCGGAAGGGAAGGGAGGGAGCAGGCUGCAGAAGGCCAGAAUCCAGGCUGGCUACAAAACUGCGGAGGAGCCCAAAAUCCUUGUGAGGAGAGGACCCAGGGCCCCAUUUGAUGGGAAGCUAGGCCAGAAGGAGGAGCUGGGAGCUCUUGUCUCCAAAAGGCAGCCUAGCAGUGGUUGAAGCAGCUGCUAAACGGCUGGAUGACCCAGCUCAGAGCAGCUACAGGCCCAUUUGGGAAACUGACCCAGCCAAAAAGCACCAGUCUAGGAAGAGGAACAGAAAAACUUGAAGGGAUUUCUGAGGAAGGGCAGACCAACUCCUGAGUUGGCCCAGUGAACCAGGGCGCCUCAGAGAAAGGAGACCCAAACAUCUGUAAGAAGCUUAUACUAGAUCCAACAGGACUGGGCUUCCCAGCUCCGAAGAUGGGAAGGAAUUGACAGCACCCCUUACCCCUCUAGACAGCUUCCUUGUGGCACUCCAAUUCCAGGUAUUCAACAUAUUUAAUGAAUGGCUACUACAGGCGGGCAUUGUCCUGGGGCCUUGUAAUGCACCUGUGGACAAAGCAGACAAAAAUCCAGGAGAAAAGGGGAAAGUCUUCAAGCUGAAGGAGACUUCGCAGAGAGCAAGUCCCCCAGUGCCACUGUGAGGACCCCAGCCAACCUUUCAGGUCAAGAUAGAAAGGGACUGAAUGAGCAGUCUGCAAAGGCAGACCCCGUGGAGAAGGCAGAAGAGUUGUUUCUUCUGAAAGUUUGAACUCCACUCCCAUGGGAAAUACCCAACAGAAUCAGACAGGAAACCCCAAAGUGCCACUGAAAAGCAAUUGAGAGCCCCACUUUGGUACACCUGAUGGGAGCGGAGAGUUAGAGAGGCAGGAAAUAACCUCCACUCCAGGGUAGAAGUAGACAGGAGAUGGGAUGGAAGGUUUCUGCAUGCUGGGACUAGCUCAGGUCAAAGUCCAGAACUCCAGAAAACAAGGCCUGCCCCCAGCUCAGAGCAGCUACCACAGCACAAAAUGGUGUGGAAUCCAGGAGCCAGGAUGAAGCGUAGGGGUAGACGGUGGUUGGAUAGCUAACUGGCCUUUCCACUGCUCUAGCCUGGAACUGGUUGGGCUGGGGCAGGGGACAUGUUGGUCUGAGUAUAGAUUUUGUCAGAAAACCCAGGCACCACUCCCUUGCCUUUGCGGGGUGAUUCUAAAAUUGGACUGUGGUAAGGGUUGCACAACUCCUCAAGUUUAUUAAAAUCAUUAAAAUGUAAACUUACAACCUGUGGGUUUUAUGGUAUGUAAAUUAUACCUCAAUAAAGCUGUCUAAUAUCUG
rnacentral:lncRNA from 1 species